AUUGAACGCUGGCGGCAGGCCUAACACAUGCAAGUCGAGCGGAUGAAGGGAGCUUGCUCCUGGAUUCAGCGGCGGACGGGUGAGUAAUGCCUAGGAAUCUGCCUGGUAGUGGGGGAUAACGUCCGGAAACGGGCGCUAAUACCGCAUACGUCCUGAGGGAGAAAGUGGGGGAUCUUCGGACCUCACGCUAUCAGAUGAGCCUAGGUCGGAUUAGCUAGUAGGUGGGGUGAAGGCCUACCAAGGCGACGAUCCGUAACUGGUCUGAGAGGAUGAUCAGUCACACUGGAACUGAGACACGGUCCAGACUCCUACGGGAGGCAGCAGUGGGGAAUAUUGGACAAUGGGCGAAAGCCUGAUCCAGCCAUGCCGCGUGUGUGAAGAAGGUCUUCGGAUUGUAAAGCACUUUAAGUUGGGAGGAAGGGCAGUAAGUUAAUACCUUGCUGUUUUGACGUUACCAACAGAAUAAGCACCGGCUAACUUCGUG
rnacentral:rRNA from 1 species